rnacentral:misc_RNA from 1 species
UGGUAAUUGAGAAACCAGUGCAAUCCAAGGAAUUAACAACUACAACAAUCAGGAGGCAGAGACUUUUUAACCAACAAAUUAAGUUUGAAAAUCUCGAAAAGCAUAAAGACAGGUAAACGAAUAAACAAGCCAAAUGCUGUCAAUGAAAGCAAAGAAAUAUGUGUAACCGCUAGAAUACUCAUUAUUGAUCAGAAAGGAAUAUCUCAUGACUUUUUAGACUACAUCCACACCUUCCAAUUUGCUAAUGAUGACCUUUUUCAAGAUCAAAAUAUCAUUCCAUCAAGAUGAACUAACAACAAUAAUUUAAUGGCACGGUAAUCUGUCA